rnacentral:misc_RNA from 1 species
AACGCACCUUGCGCUCUUUGGUAUUCCGAGGAGCAUACCUGUUUGAGUGUCAUUAAAUUUGUUUUUUCAACCUUAUUUCUUCCUGAAGUGAGGCUUGGAUUUGCUGGAGUGUUUGCAGGCAAUAUAUAUUUUGUGUCUGCUCCUCUGAAAUGCAUUAGCGGAGAUGAUCGAUCCUUCUUUAGAAAGGCUUUGAUCUUUCAUGUGGUGUGAUAGAUAUAUUUUCUUACCACCAAUAUGUGGAGGAUUUUAGUUCGGAAGGAUGUUUUGCUUCGCUUCUACAACUGUCUUGUUUUUAAAGACUGAACUUGUAAAAGUUCAUUAUCUGGUAUUUGAUCUCAAAUCAGGUAGGAUUACCCGCUGAACUUAA